UGGUGAGCUGGACAGGCAAGGGGAAGGCUGAAUCCUGGCUAGAAUAUUACAACUCAGGUGAUAAUUAUGCCCACUGUGGAGUCCAGAUGGGCCCCCGGAGCUCUGGGAUCAAGGCCUCAUCUUCCCCGGUGAGGAGGAGGGUAGCCCCGAGGGGAGUGGGCAGCUCCAUGGGGAGCCCAGGGCUGGGCCUGACUUCUCAGAGCCUUCCUGGCAGGCUGCAAAGGACCUUCAGUCAUCCCCCUUCCAGCCUGGCUUGAAUUCCCUGAGAUGGGGACUCACUGCUAAGCCACCUCCAUCACCACGGACGUGGACACAGGAGGGUAAGGCAGUGGUCCAGCGUGGUGGCCCCCAUGUGAGGGACAGCAGGGAUGGGAAGAAAAACGGCAGGAGAGUGGGGAGGCAGAACACAGAAUGGGCUGCGGGAACGGGAGGCCAGCAAGGCUGGGGCCGCUCUGUCUGCUCAGAUAGACUCAUUCCAACGGAUGCCGGCCAGAUUCGUGUCCUGGGGCCGCCAAAACCAAGUCCCACAAACUGAAGCUUCAAACAACAGACACUGCUUCUCCCCAAGUUGUGGAGGCCAGAAGCCCGAGAUCCAGAAAAGGCACUGGGUACAGAGAUGACAAGGCGCUGGCCCUGCCUUCCAGGGGCCCCCAGCAUCAUGGGGAAGACACCCAGUGACUGGCCAACUCAUCUCUGCCUUUCCGCUGUCGGCUGCACAAGUGUGCACCUGCUGUGGCCCCUGGGAAGUCUUCUGUGCUAAAGUGGAAAGGCUUCCAGUGCCUUCACAAAGGCAUGAAUCUACUCACAGGGAUCCACUCCAUGAGGAAAACACCUUCCAUUAGGCCCCACCUCCAACACUCUGGGAUCAAAUUGCAACCUGAGGUUUGGAGGCCCAACCAUGCAGCUGCCAGCACUGCUCCUGGAUAUCACCAAGGAAUACGGGUCAUUGGAGCAUUCGCAGACAGUCUUCAAGCAUCCACUGUGUGCCAGGCUCGCGCACCGAGGCCAUGCCAGCGGGUGUCAUCAUGCCAGCUCUUCCCAGGCCUGGGCAGCUGAGACCUGUGCAUGCCAGGCCAAAGUCUCCAGCCCCAGAUGUGAACCUGGAAUGCCCCGGCCCACCUCCUCCUUCUUGGGGUCCCCAGAUUCGCUUCCCGAGGACCUCGAAGGGUUCACAUUCUCACCAUAAGCAGGCGCUCACACCGGGGGCAAGCAGAGGGACAGCAGCCCCCUAGAGGCAGGGCCCAAGGGUCCCAUGCACUUCACCCCUGCUGCAGGACCUGGCCUGGGCCUGUGACUUGGGAAUGCCACAUCAUAGAGGUUCUCUGGAAACAAGGAAUGCAGACCCCAUGACCACGUACCCCCACUCCCCAGAUGACCCACUGCAGCAGACCAAACAUGGGCAUCCAUCUCUGAGUGCCCCGCAGUGCAAGCAAAUGACGUGUCUGGGUUUGUGUCUCCCCAGAGCUGACUGGAGAUAGGGAUCUGAGGGUUAAUGUGUCCUUGGGAGUCGAAGAGAGCAGUGUCAAGGGCAGUGGGGAGGGAGGAGAGGCAGCCACUAAGCAGGAGAGACCUGCAGCUUCUCAGAUGGCCUCCCUGUGGUGGCUGGGUCCUAGUGGGUCCACCUGACAUCUUGCCUUUAAUUUCCUACAGCUGCCGACAAAGCGCAAUAAAGCCGGUGACCUCAGAUACAGAGUUUAUCCUCUCACCAUCCCGGAGGCCAGAAAUGCCAGACCAAGGUGCCUGUGUCUUCUAACAAGGACAUCAGCCAUUGGAUGAAGCCACCUUAAAUCCAGGAUGACUUCAUCGUAACUUACUGACAUCAGCAAAGACCCUAUUUCCAAAUACGGUCACAUUCACAGCUGCAGCUGGUUAGGACUUGAACAUGUAUUUUGGGGGGACACAAUUCCACCCACAGCAAUCCCCCUUGGUCCCCACUCAGCCCAGGUGAGAGCCAACCGGCACCUGCACAGCUGAAGCCAUGGUCCCCACCCCACCUUUGGUCCCCACAUCACGUGGAAAGCUCACGUGCAGGGGCUCUGCUGUCCAUGAACUCUCCUCACCUAGUCCUCGCCACAACUCCAGGCCCCAACGCAAAAGCAUGGCAGGUCUGCCUGGCCCAGAAGCCCCCUGUCCCCAACAUUGUUCUGCCAGCCCCAGGGAGGGCUUCCUGAUGUGCCACCAGGGUCCUUCGGCCUGGCAGGCUGAAGCCGGGGCCGGCUGUCACUGCCGCUGUCCUGGAUAGCCUCGUGGGCCUCCCCUGUGGUAAGCCAGGGGCUGUCUCGUUGCCCAGUAAGCCCUGGCUGCCCUCCCCUCCACAGGCUGGGCAGGCAACAGAAAAGCAGACUUCAGGAGCAAAAGGCGGAGGCCCCAGACCCCAGCUCUCCCAGAGCAGAAUGGAGCAGAAGGGACGGGCCGGUCCUUUAUCCCCUGGAGCCAGGCUUCCUGCCUCAGAAAUGCUUGGGGCUGCCCUCACACCACGCUGGGCAGCUUCAGGAGACACCGUGUGAUCACCUGGUGCUGGGGAACUCGCAGGCAUCAGCCCCUCCACUCCUCCCCAUUGGGGAAAGGGAGGAGAUGGGGCCCAAGGCAAGGGACCCAGGACAGGGCUUUGCAGGAGCACCCAAGCUUCAUGGGGCGAUUUCAUCAGUCACAUAGGAAUGCCAGCUGCGACGCCCACACACUGGAGACCCAGCAAACGAAGCAGGCCCGGACACUGGCAUGGAAUUCUGACACAUCAGGGUACAACCACCAAAUUGGAAAGGUCAUAAAAUAUUAAAGCUGUUGAUGGAGAGAAAAUAUUGAAGAUUUCAUCAGCAGUUUCUUGCCCUAUUUCAAUGAUAUUAACUUUUUAAUUAAAAUUGACGCUCAAGACUUUCCAACAGAGGGAAGUUUCACUUCUUAACCUAGAGGGAGCCGCA
rnacentral:lncRNA from 10 species